CGUAGGAAUCUACCCAGUAGCGGGGGAUAAGCCAGAGAAAUUUGGUCUAAUACCGCAUACGCCCUUCGGGGAAAGCAGGGGAUCUUCGGACCUUGCACUAUUGGAUGAGCCUGCGUGAGAUUAGCUAGUUGGUGAGGUAAUGGCUCACCAAGGCGACGAUCUCUAGCUGGUCUGAGAGGAUGAUCAGCCACACUGGAACUGAGACACGGUCCAGACUCCUACGGGAGGCAGCAGUGGGGAAUAUUGCACAAUGGGCGCAAGUGAUGCAGCCAUGCCGCGUGUGUGAAGAAGGCCCUAGGGUUGUAAAGCACUUUCAGCAGUGAGGAAAGGUUAGUAGUUAAUACCUGCUAGCUGUGACGUUAACUGCAGAAGAAGCACCGGCUAACUCCGUGCCAGCAGCCGCGGUAAUACGGAGGGUGCGAGCGUUAAUCGGAAUUACUGGGCGUAAAGCGCGCGUAGGUGGAUUGGUCAGUCAGAUGUGAAAGCCCAGGGCUCAACCUUGGAACUGCACCUGAUACUGCCAAUCUAGAAUACGGUAGAGGGUAGUGGAAUUUCCUGUGUAGCGGUGAAAUGCGUAGAUAUAGGAAGGAACACCAGUGGCGAAGGGACUACCUGGACCGAUAUUGACACUGAGGUGCGAAAGGUGGGGAGCAAACAGGAUUAGAUACCCUGGUAGUCCACGCCGUAAACGAUGUCUACUAGCCGUUGGGGGACUUGAUCUUUUAGUGGCGCAGUAACGCGAUAAGUAGACCGCCUGGGGAGUACGGCCGCAAGUUAAAACUCAAUGAAUUGACGGGGGCCCGCACAAGCGUGGAGCAUGUGGUUUAAUUCGAAGCAACGCAAGAACCUUACCAACUCUUGACAUCCAGAGAACUUAGC
rnacentral:rRNA from 1 species